GAGUUUGAUCAUGGCUCAGAUUGAACGCUGGCGGCAGGCCUAACACAUGCAAGUCGAACGGCAGCACAGAGGAGCUUGCUCCUUGGGUGGCGAGUGGCGGACGGGUGAGGAAUGCAUCGGAAUCUGCCUAUUUGUGGGGGAUAACGUAGGGAAACUUACGCUAAUACCGCAUACGUCCUACGGGAGAAAGUGGGGGACCUUCGGGCCUCACGCAGAUAGAUGAGCCGAUGCCGGAUUAGCUAGUUGCGGGGUAAAGGCCCACCAAGGCGACGAUCCGUAGCUGGUCUGAGAGGAUGAUCAGCCACACUGGAACUGAGACACGGUCCAGACUCCUACGGGAGGCAGCAGUGGGGAAUAUUGGACAAUGGGCGCAAGCCUGAUCCAGCC
rnacentral:rRNA from 1 species